GGAAAUUAUGACGUUUAGAUUGCAGUUUGGAGAUGGAUUGGGGAGGUUAGGAGAUAGGUUGAGGAGGUAGUUUGCCAAGGGUACAUGUCAGACUAGGAAGGAGUUGUGAGUAAUUGUGGCAGGCACAGACAUAGGCACUUACCUUUGUAUCCGCGGCUCCGCUCCUCACAUCAUCAACACUGUGCCAUGUCACAGUGCCGCCUAGAGCCAUGGUCCCACUGGGACCUAUGGAUGGGC